rnacentral:lncRNA from 10 species
ACUUUGAAUAAUCUUUUAUUUCCAAUUAACUAUGAAACAAACAGUUCAGAAAAAUUCCAUGUUGAUUUUGCAAAAAUUUUUUUUCUUUUGUAUUUUUAGUAGAGAGGGGGUUUCACCAUGUUGGUCAGGCUAGUCUUGAACUCCUGGCCUCAGGUGAUCCACCUGCCUUGGCCUCCCAAAGUGCUGGGAUUACAGGUGCGAGCCACUGCACCCAGCCAAGAAUUUCAGCUCCUUGGUGUUAAGAGAUUAUUCUUUCAUCAACAGUGAUUAGCCAAAAACAACAAAAAAAGGCUUCAACGGCCCCUUUCCAAUUCUAAUCUCUUCUUCAGGUACAGAGAGCCCGGAGGGGCCAGAUGCCGUAUUGAGACAGGGCUCAGGUGAGGCUCUUAGGCACGCAGCUGAAGGGAGUUCACCGGCCCAGAGGGUUGAAGACCAACACUAACAUUAUGAACAAGGCAGGAGUUCCUGCUAACACACCUCCCACUCCCUUUCCCUUCUCAGAUAGAACCCAAC